rnacentral:rRNA from 1 species
CAGCCGCCGCGGUAAUACGGAGGGUCCGAGCGUUAUCCGGAAUCAUUGGGUUUAAAGGGUCCGUAGGCGGGCCAAUAAGUCAGAGGUGAAAGGCCACGGCUCAACCGUGGGACUGCCUUUGAUACUGUUGGUCUUGAGUUAUAGUGGGGUUGCCGGAACAUGUGGUGUAGCGGUGAAAUGCAUAGAUAUCACAUAGAACACCGAUCGCGAAGGCAGGUGGCCAACUAUAUACUGACGCUGAUGGACGAAAGCGUGGGGAGCGAACGGGAUUAGAUACCCCGGUAGUCCACGCCGUAAACGAUGGAUACUAGCUGUGGGGUUUUCGGACUCCGUGGCCAAGCGAAAGUGAUAAGUAUCCCACCUGGGGAGUACGUUCGCAAGAAUGAAACUCAAAGGAAUUGACGGGGGCCCGCACAAGCGGUGGAGCAUGUGGUUUAAUUCGAUGAUACGCGAGGAACCUUACCAGGGCUUAAAUGCAGUAUGACAGAUUCAGAGAUGGAUUUUUCUUCGGACAUAUUGCAAGGUGCUGCAUGGUUGUCGUCAGCUCGUGCCGUGAGGUGUCAGGUUAAGUCCUAUAACGAGCGCAACCCCUGCCGUUAGUUGCCAGCAUGUAAAGAUGGGGACUCUAACGGGACUGCCGGUGCAAACCGAGAGGAAGGUGGGGACGACGUCAAAUUAUCACGGCCCUUACGUCCUGGGCUACACACGUGCUACAAUGGCCGGUACAGAGGGAAGCCACCCCGCGAGGGGGCGCGGAUCUUCAAAGCCGGUCACAGUUCGGAUCGGGGUCUGCAACUCGAUUCCGUGAAGCUGGAAUCGCUAGUAAUCGCAUAUCAGCCAUGAUGCGGUGAAUACGUUCCCGGGCCUUGUACACACCGCCCGUCAAGCCAUGGAAGCCGGGAGUGCCUGAAGUCCGUCACCGAGAGGAGCGGCCUAGGGCAAGACCGGUAACUAGGGCUAAGUCGUAACAAGGUAACCGUA